rnacentral:rRNA from 1 species
UACGUGGGGGGCAAGCGUUGUCCGGAUUUAUUGGGCGUAAAGCGCGUGUAGGCGGCCAGGUAGGUCAGUUGUGAAAACUCGGGGCUCAACCCCGAAACGUCGAUUGAAACCCUCUGGCUAGAGUCCGGAAGAGGAGAGCGGAAUUCCUGGUGUAGCGGUGAAAUGCGCAGAUAUCAGGAAGAACACCCGUGGCGAAGGCGGCUCUCUGGGACGGUACUGACGCUGAGACGCGAAAGCGUGGGGAGCGAACAGG